UACGAAGGGUGCAAGCGUUACUCGGAAUUACUGGGCGUAAAGCGUGCGUAGGUGGUUUGUUAAGUCUGAUGUGAAAGCCCUGGGCUCAACCUGGGAAUUGCAUUGGAUACUGGCAGGCUAGAGUGCGGUAGAGGGUAGUGGAAUUCCCGGUGUAGCAGUGAAAUGCGUAGAUAUGUGGAGGAAUACCGAUGGCGAAGGCAGCCCCCUGGGUCGAUACUGACGCUCAUGCACGAAAGCGUGGGGAGCAAACAGG
rnacentral:rRNA from 1 species